UGGGGAAUAUUGCACAAUGGGCGCAAGCCUGAUGCAGCCAUGCCGCGCGUAUGAAGAAGGCCUUCGGGUUGUAAAGUACUUUCAGCGGGGAGGAAGGGAGUAAAGCUAAUACCUUUGCUCACUGACGUUACCCGCAGAAGAAGCACCGGCUAACUCCGUGCCAGCAGCCGCGGUAAUACGGAGGGUGCAAGCGUUAAUCGGAAUUACUGGGCGUAAAGCGCACGCAGGCGGUUUGUUAAGUCAGAUGUGAAAUCCCCGGGCUCAACCUGGGAAGUGCAUCUGAUACUGGCAAGCUUGAGUCUCGUAGAGGGAGGUAGAAGUCCAGGUGUAGCGGUGAAAUGCGUAGAGAUCUGGAGGAAUACCGGUGGCGAAGGCGGCCCCCUGGACGGAGACUGACGCUCAGGUGCGAAAGCGUGGGAAGCAAACAGG
rnacentral:rRNA from 1 species